UCUUACAGUGAGUGGCGACUUGGAAGGAUUAAAGACUUGUCAGUUAGCUGGGGUUGAUCCGACCAUGUGCAGUUAUGAUGGACAAAUGCCCAUUGAAGUGGACUGUUGCUGCAUCACCGGCAUCUGGCACAAGAAAGACACGUGAGUGUCGUGUUUUGAGUUCCCUGGAAAAUCAUACUGAGACUGCGAAUACACCACUCUCACAUUUACCUGCAUCUCGCAAAGGAAAGAGUCGCAGUGCUGGUCUGGCGCUGCUGUCUGGAGACUGCUGUGACGUUUCUGCGGUUCUGCAGCUGGGGAUUAUUGUGCUCAGGGCCCCUGUGAACGCUCCACUCAUGGUCACCAGAGAAGCAAAGUCCACUCAAACAAUGCACCAAAAGGAAACUUCUAUGUAGUACACUUGGUCCUUUUUGCAAUAGUGCUACUGUGUUGUAACAUGGUGUAGUACAGCUGUACUGGGCAACAAAUGACACUACUCUCCCAUUCACUGAUCUGCUGCCCGCUAUGCUCUGCUCACGUGCUCUGAUAAAUAAUAAUAGCUUUGUAGGACUAUACAUUAUUUGGGUACAUAGUAUGAAUAAUAAAAAAUAUUAAAUAAUAAUAAAUUAAAAAAAA
ensembl:lncRNA